rnacentral:lncRNA from 1 species
UAGAGUGCUCCUAGUCCAUCAGUUCUGGUGUUGGAAAGUGCUUGUGGCAAGCUGAGACUGGCACCAAAAGCUGGCACGUUAGAGACACCGAAUACAUGGCCUAAGGUUCCCCACCAGCCUAGCAAUCCCCAGAUGAUUCCUGGGUGAGUACUCCAGUAGCUGCAAUUUAGAGGACAAUUCAUUGGUUACUUAACAGUAUCUGUAUGUCAUAUGAUAGUUUACCGUGCAAUGUAAUGAAGGGAACUUACUUGCAUGUACCAGUGAAAGGAGUUGGAGAAGGAAGGUAAGGGGGUGUGGAGGGGAUCGUGGGGGAGCCUGGGUCAAUAGGGAUUGAAGGUGGGCUCACAGUGAUUGGGGGGCUACCACCUCCAUAAGUUGGUGGUGAGUUGUAGUACCCACCACCUCCUGAGGGAGGAUUUGAUGGUGUUGAAGGGGUUGAUGGUGUCGUCGGGACUGAGGGCGUUGGAGUAGAGGGUUCUUGUGGUGGAGUUCCACAAUUGCUACCAUCAGGUGGCGAUGGGGUUGGAUUGUAACUUCCACCACCCUCAGGUGGCGAUGGGGUUGGAUCAUAGCUUCCACCACCUGGGGGAGUUGAUGGGGUUGGAUUGUAAUAUCCACCACCUGAGGGUGGUGAUGGGUUUGGGUCAUAACUUCCACCACCAGGGGGAGUUGAUGGAGUUGGAUUGUAACUUCCACCAUCAGGGGGAGUUGAUGGGGUUGGAUUGUAACUUCCACCAUCAGGGGGAGUUGAUGGGGUUGGAUUGUAACUUCCACUUCCACCACCGUCUGAGGGUGGUGAUGGGGUUGGGUCAUAGCUUCCACCACCUGGAGGAGUUGAUGGAGUUGGAUUGUAACUUCCAUCACCACCUGGGGGAGUUGAUGGGGUUGGAUUGUAACUUCCACUUCCACCACCUGAGGGUGGUGAUGGAGUUGGAUCAUAGCUUCCACCACCUGGGGGAGUGCAUGGGGUUGGAGUGGAACUUCCUCCACCUCCAUGCGAUGGGGAUCCAUGAUGUGAUGGGGAUCCAUGAUGUGAUGGAGUUCCAUGAUGAGAGUGUGAUCCAUGAUGAUGAGAAUGCGGGGUGCUUCCAUGACCACUGCCUCCAGAGCCAUGAGAUGGAGAGCAGUAUGAACCUUCAAGAAGUAAAAGCAACGUAUAAUGUUAGAUUACAAAGUUAAACGUCAAAGUGGUAUCUUUAUGAGCUUCUGAUCAUUUCAUACUUUCAAAUUUAAUGGCCUACUGUAGCUAUCAAGGAAAGUUGAAGAGCUCGUUAAUGUUAUCUUUAUAUAUUUUGCACCAACGAUGAAAC